GACGAACGCUGCGGCGUGCUUAACACAUGCAAGUCGAGCGGUAAGGCCCUUUCGGGGGUACACGAGCGGCGAACGGGUGAGUAACACGUGGGUGACCUGCCCUCAGCUCUGGGAUAAGCCUGGGAAACUGGGUCUAAUACCGGAUAUGACUCCAUGACGCAUGUUGUGGGGUGGAAAGCCUUGUGCGGCUGAGGAUGGGCCCGCGGCCUAUCAGCUUGUUGGUGGGGUGAUGGCCUACCAAGGCGACGACGGUAGCCGGCCUGAGAGGGCGACCGGCCACACUGGGACUGAGACACGGCCCAGACUCCUACGGGAGGCAGCAGUGGGGAAUCUUGCGCAAUGGGCGAAAGCCUGACGCAGCGACGCCGCGUGA
rnacentral:rRNA from 1 species